UACGGAAGGCAGCAGUGGGGAAUAUUGCACAAUGGGCGCAAGCCUGAUGCAGCCAUGCCGCGUGUAUGAAGAAGGCCUUCGGGUUGUAAAGUACUUUCAGCGGGGAGGAAGGCGAUGUGGUUAAUAACCGCGUCGAUUGACGUUACCCGCAGAAGAAGCACCGGCUAACUCCGUGCCAGCAGCCGCGGUAAUACGGAGGGUGCAAGCGUUAAUCGGAAUUACUGGGCGUAAAGCGCACGCAGGCGGUCUGUUAAGUCAGAUGUGAAAUCCCCGGGCUUAACCUGGGAACUGCAUUUUGAAACUGGCAGGCUUGAGUCUCGUAGAGGGGGUAGAAUUCCAGGUGUAGCGGUGAAAUGCGUAGAGAUCUGGAGGAAUACCGGUGGCGAAGGCGGCCCCUGGGACGAAGACUGACGCUCAGGUGCGAAAGCGUGGGGAGCAAACAGGGAUUAGGAUACC
rnacentral:rRNA from 1 species